rnacentral:lncRNA from 1 species
CACAGACGCAUUCCAAGACGAUACUUGAAGGAGAAACUGAGUUGAAUAAUUUGGUAGACUGUAGAUUGAGCACAUCUAAGGGAAAUAAAUACAUUGUCAUGACGAUUUAAAUGGAUGGAUGUGUUCUAGACAAGUAUACCCAUACUAUAUAUUGGCUGAUUUUGGCGAUCUGGAGUGCAGCGUAAUACACACCAGCAAGCGAUCGAUACACACUCAGCCGAGAGCAGCAGAUGACCACCGCUGUUCCUCUGCCAGGGUGUUCAGGUAAUCAGGAGGAGCCUGUCUGUCUGGAGACGACAGGUUAUUACUGGCUUUUUGAUUGCAGUAGGCCUACAAUCAGUGCCACACAAACAUUCAUUUUAGCAAUAUGAGAGCCUUUUCCUAAAAGGAACAUCGGAGAAAAUCAAAAAUGCAAGACGUGUGUCUGUGUGCUCAUGCAUGUACAUCCUUCUUUCUCACAUUCUCUGGUUGGCAGGUUCAGGGUCCUAUUUUAUUGGAUUAGAUCAACAGUCGUUAUCCUUUUGAUUCCAUGCAUGUGUUUAACUAUACUGGUAGUGAUGAUGUCACACCAUAAAUCAUUGAAUUCA